GACGAACGCUGGCGGCGUGCCUAAUACAUGCAAGUAGGACGCAGUUGCGAACGGGUGAGUAACGCGUAGGUAACUACCCAUUAGAGGGGGAUAACUAUUGGAAACGAUAGCUAUUACCGCAUACUGGUUGAUGGCUUUGCGUUGUAUUAGAUAGUUGAUAGGGUAAUGGCCUACCUAGGCAAGGAUACAUAGCCGACCGGAGAGGAUGGUCGGCCACACUGGGACGGAGACACGGCCCAGAGUCCGACGGGAGGCAGCAGGAGGGAAUCGUCGGGAAUGGGGGGAGCACUGACCGAGAAACGCGGCGUGAGGAAGGAGGGUUUUCGGAUCGUAGAGCUCUGUUGUUAAGGAAGCGGUACUUAACCAGAAAGGGACGGCUAACUACGUGCCAGCAGCCGCGGUAAUUC
rnacentral:rRNA from 1 species